AAAAAAGAUUCAUCCUUAAUAUAUUCAGGUGUGUAGCUGCUAUCAGAUAAUCUACACAAACCUUGGUUACCUUGAGACCAUUGAAAUGUACCCUAUGGUCUGUGGCAUAAACUUUACCUUUUGUGAACUUCCAAGUCACAGAAGAGCAACAACAGGGUUUUUUCAACCCAAAUUUUAUCCACCACAAAUUGAUCCUGCUGUAGUCUAAAUUCCAUCCCACCACAACUACCAGUGUGAACUGGAUAUUCCCUUGGCCUCUCUGGACAUCAAUUUUCUCAUCUGUAAAAUUAGGAACUUGGAACAGAUGACCUCUAAAUUCUUUGCAAUUAGUACCUUUGUGGCUUGUCUCUUUAAAUUUGCUGUGGAAAGCUGUUAACUAUUCCAGAGAAUACUAUGAAGAGAUAUUAGAUACCUCCAAGGAUCUGUGAAUCUUACAGUUCUGCCUAUGAUACCAGAAGUUCAACACUAUAGCAGAUAGUGAAUAAAGAAUCAUAUAAGGAAAAGUAAAUGGCUCACUGAGCAUCUGGGCCUCUCCAAAAAUAAUUAAGUUAAGGGACGGGGUUGUGGCUCAGCGGUACAGCGCUUGCCUAGCACGUGGAGGGUGCUGGGUUUGAUCCUCAGCACCACAUAAAAAUAAAAUAAAGCUAUGGCGUCCAACUACAACUUAAACAAAAUAUUAAAAAUAUUAAGUUAAAAGAACAUUAAUUUCUAGAACAAAAGCCUAAAGGUAGAUCAAUCAUACCUGACCAAAUUUGGGUAAAUUUUGCAAAAUGAAAGUCAUAAUGAUAGGUUUCACACACAGAGAGAGAUUUUGUUCCUUUUAGUUUUGACAACAUACAUGAUAUCCCAAGAAAUUUCCUGAAAUUUUUCCACAGGACUGUAUUGGAUCCAGACUCUAUAUUUGGUUCUAGGGCAUAUGCUUGACAGUCGACAUUCUGAGGAACAGUGGAGUCCUUUGGAAUCUUGGAUAUCUAAUUGAAAUAUAGGAAUUUUCAGUUCUCCUAAUGAUAGUUCCUGAUAAAUAAUGCCAUGGCAUUCUAAAUUAGAGUGAUGAGGUACACAACCAUCCUAGGCAUAGCAAAGGCUGUUUUAUUCUUUUAAAAGGAGGCUUUCAAAACAGAUUUGUUUUUCACUUCUCAACUGCAAUUAAUGCCACAAUUAAGAAAGCUUAAAAUACCACCUUUUGUUAUAAAUUAUGUACCACUUGGACAUAAAUUGUGACUUUGGUUGCUUAUUAGAUCAUUGAAGAAAACUCAACCUCCUUCUUCAUUCAUUUCUUUUGUCUCUUAGAAUCUUCCCAACAAAAGGAAAUUAUUUUACAGCUGGCUUAUAAUUGAACUGAAACUCAUCUUUAACACCAUUUGUACAAUUCUUAGUGACAUGUCUUGCUUUACUGUGCUCUAAAAUACAACCACCAUGUUGAACCAGGGCCCAAGGGCUGCUUGGUUAUGAAGCUGUUCACUAUCAGACAGGACACCUUGGGGAUUCCACUAGAACCCAAAGAAACCUGAAUUAGCAUACACUGUCAUAAGAAACCUCUGUCAGUGUGCUUUUCCUCUUUGAGUCCCAAAAAUAAUACCUUAAAGACUGUACUUUACAUUUUUAUAUUAUUCUACACCUGUAGAAAUCUUUCAUACUCUGUACAGGUUGGUCUAGAAAUGCCACCCCUAGAAGUAUAAAAACCAAUCAAUAAUAAAUAACACAGAUUCUCUAUAUUAUUAUUCUUAUAAUCAGCUCUUCUGCCAGCUUCAUGUACACCAAUUGCUCAAUUCUAAUACAAUGUCUAGCACAUGAUAUGUGUUCAAUAAGUGUCAGCUAAUGAACAAUUCAAAGAACUAUACAAGCCAGGCACAGUGGCACAUGACUGUAAUCCCAAUGAUUUGGGAGGCUGAAAUAAGAGAAUCACAAAUUCAAGGCCAACUUCAACAAUUUAGUGAGGACUUAUGUAACUUAGUAAGAUCCUGUCUCAAAAUAAAAAAUAAAAAGUGCUAGGGAUGCAGCUCAGUGGUAAAACAUCACUGGGUUCAACCCCCAGUACAAUCAAUCAACCAAUAAGUAAACAGAAGAACUAACUACACAGUGAGCCAAGCAGAGUACACCACCUAGAUAUUCUUUUUUCUCCUUGAACCAAAGCCAGUAAAGAGUACACGUGGUCCCCCAGCUGAUCUUUAUUUUCAUAAUUCUCGAAUGCUUCUUUUAAGCAGAAGCCUCUGCCAUUAGCUAGGUCUCUGCUCCAGAAUCCAGCCAACCCCAGGUGAGAAGGGAAAGAAGUCCAGAGAACAGCAAGAGAAAAAUGAUGGUCAUUGUCAGAGUAGAGGAAAGCACGUCUUGAAACAUUUUCAGUCCCCAUCUGAGAAUUAUAGACAUGCAUGGAGUCUCUACAUUCAGUCACUGGCAUACUGUUUUCCACUCUACUUUCCCACUACACUGCUUUCACUCAGCAUAGCUCUUCAGCCCGGCAGGAUCACUGCAUGUAAUGAUAAGAUAUUAGCAAUCUAUUAGGGAGUUACUUGUCUUUCUCUGGAGAUCCUAUAAGCCAAAAAAUCAUCAUCAUCAUCAUCAUCAUCAUCAUCAUCCUGGAUAAUUCAGCUGUGACCUGAAACAUAGCUUCAUAUUCUACAAAAAAUAACCUCAUUCUUCUUUGUCUUGACUAAUAAAAUAUUAAUGACUAAGAAACAUUUUCCAUAUCUCACUAGUUGUAUUUUGAAGGGGAAGUGAGAAUGUGAGAUAUACUUUCUUCUUGCAUCCCAUGGGGAUAACAGAAUACACACUAGAGUAGUUCUGCAUAUGUUAAAUAUGACUUAUCUGUGAUUUGGCUAAGCCAGGUUGUGGCAAUACCAUUCUCAAUAUUAUCAUAUUGUCUUUGGUUCAUGCCUAUCCACAUGUUCAGAGAGGUAUGACCAGGCGCGUGAAGGAUCUGAAAUCCAUACAUAAAAGAACAGUUGGAAAUUGACCACGCUUUACUCAGAAAAGGGAAAAUUUAAAGAGGAGUGGUGGCUUGCCUCAAAUACUUGAAGAACUAUUAAUCUGUUCCAUAAGGCCCCAGAUGGUAGUGCUACAACUGGGGGGGGCAGAGUUUCCCAAGGAAUACAUCCACGCAAUACAAGCACUAACUACAGAUUAGAGAAAGCUGGCUGGAGGUCAUUUCAAGGGAAGCAUGAUGGUUCCUCCUCAAAUGUUGAGAUAAGGGUCUUCCUUCUGAGACUUGCAAUCUAAGAUAACAUGAAGUGGCAUAGGUGACCUGAAGACAACUGAUCAAACACUUGCACAUGUGCCCAUGUCCAUGAGGAGCAGUGUGAAGGGAGAAGUGCCUGUCUAGUCUGGCUGGAAUCAGGUGGACAGUGUUCUUCUAAUUCAUUUGGAAAGUUCUCAUGGCAAGGCAGAAUGAUGAUGAUGAUGGUGGUGGUGGUAGUGGUGGUGGUGGUGAUAUAGAAGCAACUUAGAAGAAAUGGGUAAGAAUGAAGAUGUCAGGAAUGGGAAGCCCUAGUUGGGGAGAAUUUAAAAACCUCAAAAAAUAAAAAUGGAAUGUUUAGAUAACAUGGAUAUUAAAUGUUUUCCUGAGCAGAGGGCAGAGUCCAAACGUCAGAGGAGUCAAGAAAAUUGGGUCAUUGAUAAACAAUGGAUCCACAAAAAAGGAUAAGACAAUAAUCAUUUGAGUAUCAAGUUGUUAAUCCCAGGAGUAACCAUAGCUACCGUCAGCCCCCAUCCCACAAAGUGGUGCCCUUGCCAAUCCUUAAGCCCUCCUUCCUGGUGCUGAAAGUAGAAAAGGUGAGUAUGACUCAGGAUGGUCAUAUGCUUCCCCAGUUCUAGAUUCUGUACCCAUCUCGUCUUGGGUUUACAGAUAAUUGCUUGAGGAUUCAAAAUGCUCCAAAAUUCAUCUUACCACGUAUGCAUUUUCCCUUAAUUUUGAAGCAAGAAGUAUUUUCAAUAUAAUGAAUUGAGAGUCAUUUCAAGGAAAUUCUUUUUAAUACAAAAUAUUUUACAGGCUGGGGUUGUGGCUCAGUGUAGAGAGCUUACCUAGCAUGGGUAAAGCACUGGGUUGGAUUAUCACCAAUGCAUACAAGUAAAUAAAAUAAAAAUAAAGUUCAUCCACAACUAAUAUAUAUAUAUAUAUAUAUAUAUAUAUAUAUAUAUAUAUAUAUAUAUAUAUAUAUUACUGAUAAAAUUAUAGCUGUAAAGGCCCUAUCUCAUUAAAAGCCCAUGUCUGUUGUUGGUGCUAUAUUAUAGUUCAAAUCUUUCCCAUUAAACUUAGAGGAUAAUUUCCCCCUUAAGUUGAUUAUAACAUAAUUGAUUUUUAUAGAUAAUAAUUUUUGAUGUAUC
rnacentral:lncRNA from 1 species